UCCGAAGGGGGCUAGCGUUGUUCGGAAUUACUGGGCGUAAAGGGCGCGUAGGCGGCGUGUCAAGUCAGGCGUGAAAGCCCCGGGCUCAACCUGGGAACCGCGCUUGAGACUGGCAUGCUCGAGUUCGGGAGAGGAUGGUGGAAUUCCCAGUGUAGAGGUGAAAUUCGUAGAUAUUGGGAAGAACACCGAUGGCGAAGGCAGCCAUCUGGACCGACACUGACGCUGAGGCGCGAAAGCGUGGGGAGCAAACAGG
rnacentral:rRNA from 1 species